AUUGAACAACACGUUUUUCACCUAUCUCUCUUCUCUUUUCUCGUCAUUUUUUUUUUCAGAGUUUCUUGCUUUUUGUUGAAUUGGAUUCAAAAUCUGGCCAUCUCUUCUUCCUUUCUCUGCCGCUCUGUGUUUCAUAUGUUUCUCUCUCUCUCUCUCUCUCUCUCUCUCUCUCUCUCUCUCUCUCUCUCUCUCUCUCUUAAUUUCUCGCGUCUCCUUCAUUUUCUAUCCUUCUCACAAGCACCAUGUGAACUCCCAUUCGAUCCAUCGACUUCUAAAACCGAAUCUAUCUGAUUUGUAUCAACAAGCAUCGAUUCAUAACCUUUGAUGAGUAGGAAUGAGAGAUCAGAACUAUAUUGGGAACCAUAGAUUUGAUGCAAAUAGUAUAGUAUUUAUCCAAAAUUUACUAAAGAGUAUGAGUCUUUAGUAAUACUAUAUCACUUUUAGAUACAAAAAUUGACAUCUACGAUUUGUAGAUGAAUAGAUGGUGAUGAAGUGAAUGGAUUAGAGUCGCAGUCGCCACCACCACCACGACAACCACCACUGCAAUACCACCAUCACCGCCGUCCGCCAUCGUUGCCGACACCACCAUCACCACUCCUUAUCUCAUCUUGUUUUCUCGUCCUCUGUUUUUACCAAACUCACAAACGCUCAGAGCAAAAUCAUCACUCUCUUUCACGCGUGUGUCCACACACUGAAACAAAUAUGAAGGAGUAUUUAGACAUUUUAUCUCCCAUAUGUAUUAUUUACUUAAUUUACCACAUUGUAUUAUUGAGAUUAUUACGGAUUUUGCCCUUUUUUAUAAUGGCAUUUAUGGAUUUUGCUAUU